GAACGGGUGAGUAACACGUGGGUGAUCUGCCCUGCACUUUGGGAUAAGCCUGGGAAACUGGGUCUAAUACCGAAUAUGACCAUGCGCCUCCUGGUGUGUGGUGGAAAGCUUUUGCGGUGUGGGAUGGGCCCGCGGCCUAUCAGCUUGUUGGUGGGGUAAUGGCCUACCAAGGCGACGACGGGUAGCCGGCCUGAGAGGGUGACCGGCCACACUGGGACUGAGAUACGGCCCAGACUCCUACGGGAGGCAGCAGUGGGGAAUAUUGCACAAUGGGCGCAAGCCUGAUGCAGCGACGCCGCGUGAGGGAUGACGGCCUUCGGGUUGUAAACCUCUUUCAGCACAGACGAAGCGCAAGUGACGGUAUGUGCAGAAGAAGGACCGGCCAACUACGUGCCAGCAGCCGCGGUAAUACGUAGGGUCCGAGCGUUGUCCGGAAUUACUGGGCGUAAAGAGCUCGUAGGUGGUUUGUCGCGUUGUUCGUGAAAACUCACAGCUUAACUGUGGGCGUGCGGGCGAUACGGGCAGACUUGAGUACUGCAGGGGAGACUGGAAUUCCUGGUGUAGCGGUGGAAUGCGCAGAUAUCAGGAGGAACACCGGUGGCGAAGGCGGGUCUCUGGGCAGUAACUGACGCUGAGGAGCGAAAGCGUGGGGAGCGAACAGGAUUAGAUACCCUGGUAGUCCACGCCGUAAACGGUGGGUACUAGGUGUGGGUUUCCUUCCUUGGGAUCCGUGCCGUAGCUAACGCAUUAAGUACCCCGCCUGGGGAGUACGGCCGCAAGGCUAAAACUCAAAGAAAUUGACGGGGGCCCGCACAAGCGGCGGAGCAUGUGGAUUAAUUCG
rnacentral:rRNA from 1 species